CUGGACCGCGGCCUCUGCUGACUGAUCUUGGGAAGAUUUUGACAACUGUCGCUCAUCACCCUAGGGGAGGGAACAAAGACCCUGGAGGAAAUUAUUCAAACCAUUUAAUUUGAGCCAUUUGCUGUCUGACCUUUACGCCUGCCACGUACAAACGUUUACUCAGAGACAAGCUGAGGACACCCAAGCUGUCAAGCUGCCUCCCUGAAGAGAAGCAGAGUGCUCGAAAGACAUUCACUUCUGGAAUGUUCUCCUAGAUGAAACCUGGAAAGAAAGGAAACUGGAAAGUAAAUAGUGGAUGAGCUCUCUUCCUCAUAAAACCCAGCACAUCUGCAGCCUUCAUUGUAAAGGCUUGCACGUUUCCAGAUCAGGUAGGUGGCCAAACUCAGAUGCUUCCAAAUUUCCUCCCCUGCCAGUUAUUGAAUGGCAUUGUCCAGAAAAGAAAGGGGGGCAUAGGUCAUCCAGU